rnacentral:rRNA from 1 species
GAAGUCGGAAUUGCUAGUAAUGGCAGGUCAGCAUACUGCCGUGAAUACGUUCCCGGGCCUUGUACACACCGCCCGUCACACCAUGAGAGUUGAGAAUACCCGAAGUCCAUGUCAAAGUGGCCGAAGGUAGGCUUGAUGAUUGGGGUGAAGUCGUAACAAGGUAAC